GAUGAAGAACGAAGCGAAAUGCGAUAAGUAAUGUGAAUUGCAGAAUUCAGUGAAUCAUCGAAUCUUUGAACGCACAUUGCGCCCGCCAGUAUUCUGGCGGGCAUGCCUGUUCGAGCGUCAUUACAACCCUCAGGCCCCCGGGCCUGGCGUUGGGGAUCGGCGGAGCCCCCCGUGGGCACACGCCGUCCCCCAAAUGCAGUGGCGGUCCCGCCGCAGCUUCCAUCGCGUAGUAGCUAACACCUCGCGACUGGAGAGCGGCGCGGCCACGCCGUAAAACACCCAACUCUUCUGAAGUUGACCUCGAAUCAGGUAGGAAUACCCGCUGAACUUAAGCAUAUCAAUAAGCGGAGGA
rnacentral:misc_RNA from 1 species